rnacentral:rRNA from 1 species
UAGGGAAUAUUGGACAAUGGGCGAAAGCCUGAUCCAGCAACGCCGCGUGCGCGAUGACGGCCUUCGGGUUGUGAAGCGCUUUUAGAGGAGAUGAGAAAGGACAGUAUCCUCAGAAUAAGCCUCGGCGAACUACGUGCCAGCAGCCGCGGUAAAACGUAGGAGGCUAGCGUUAUCCGGAUUUAUUGGGCGUAAAGCGCGUGCAGGCGGUUUGAUAAGUUGGAUGUGAAAUCUCCCGGCUUAACUGGGAGCGGUCGUUCAAAACUAUCAGAAUAGAGGAUGGGAGAGGAAGGUGGAAUUCCGGGUGUAGUGGUGAAAUGCGUAGAUAUCCGGAGGAACACCAGUGGCGAAAGCGGCCUUCUAGACCAUUUCUGACGCUAAGACGCGAAAGCUAGGG